AUUAUAGCACUCUUCUCUGCUAUUGGAAUGUAAAUGAUUGACAUUGGGAAAUUCAUUUCAGAUGCCCCACAUCUCAUCCGCAGCCCAAGAGGAGGAAAUCUAUUUGAAGACUGAACAGCAACACGGACCUCACUGCAAAAUGAGGCGAAUUGCUGGGUCUACAGCCAGAUGCCAUUGUCCUCCUCUGGGCUUCCAUGAAAAAUUGACCUGGCUACUGUGACUAUGUGGGGACUACUGACCGUGGGGGAGAAAGACUCACCAUCUUCCUGGCCCACAUGUGGCUCUGCGUUUGUGAAAACCAGGGGUGGCCUUGCCUGCCUUAUAACUGGACGGGGCACUGCUGCUACUGACUCCCUUUCCAUUGACCCGAACGAAGACUGUCACCUUGUCUUGCUUGCCUUCCGGUAAGAAAACCACAGAGUUAAAGCACCAUUCUCAUCACGGCAUAUUAAGAUUUUAUCAAGUUGUGAGGUGAGAUGCCUCGCCAGCUGUGGCGAGCUACACUUCUUGGUCACGAGCCACCGUGGAAGGGGACAAACCACACAUUUUAAUGGACCGUGGUCACUCCUCCCAGGAGAGUGCCCUGGCUCUGGCGUCCUCGCAGAGGGGAAGAUCACGUCAGGGUAGUUCCAGGACCCGCACCCCAUCCUCAAUGCAAGUUAGCUA